AUGCACUCUCAGUAAUUUAGUACUUAUCGAAUAAUAAAUAGAAAGUUGAAAUUUUUAUAUUAAAAAUUAAACAUAUUAAACAAAUUAUACAUAUUUAUAUUACAUUAAUGUGCAUAUUUAGAAUUUUUUAGGAAAAAGAAUAAACUUAUAUAAAAACUAAUCAUCAAUCUUACAUAAAAAAUAUCAAACAAUUUAUCUAUUUUCAAAAACUAGCUUAUUAAUUGAUAACUAUAAUGAAAAAGGCAAACCAGACUUCUUGUUAUCCAUUUAGUCAAAUUGCAUAAAAAUCGAAUAAAUUAUUUGUUGGUUGAAGUCGUAGAAGAGAAUUCAUCGUUUCUUGGUAUUUUGUGCAAUUUACUUGAGGCGCGCACAGUAUAGCAUUCUGGUAACGAGUCUUGGCCUACAAAAGUCGUCGCGGUCGUUCUUCGAAACAAGUAGCCCGCCGUGGGAAGCGUCGUCGACUGGGCCACGUGGUGGACAGGAAUGAAUCAUGAAAACGAAGCGUAAAACUGGCUGGUCGGGGAUACCAAAGAGAAACUGGCAGAGAGGCCUGACCGGCUCUUACAGUAAAUAUAGAAGCGGGAGAAUCUUGCCUGACACCAAACACGACUUCGCGUGCGGAACGCCCGGAGGGAGUCGCAGCAAGGUCGUCAAUUGCAUCAGCGACGGUAGCUCUGCAAGCUUCCUGCUUCUUCUUGUCCACGCCGCCGGGAGAUCGUGUUCUCCGAACAAUUUCAAGUCUAUCGAAUCGGACAACCGCGAAAAUCCGAAUGAAAAUCCCGUGCUCGAUUCUUAUUAUUAAGAUUCGUAGAAUGGUUGAGUUAUGUGUAUGAAUUGUAAUGAUCUAAUCUUAAGAUCAUAUAUAAUAGUUAGUGCUGUUUAAGGAUUAAUUGAAAAUUUAGGAAAUAAAUUAGAUGAAAGUACACUGGAUUUGCUGAUUGAUUGAUUGUAAUGGUUUAAAAGAAAUAGCUUAAUCUUUGAUUUCAAUAAAAAUUUAGUUAAUUUUCA